rnacentral:rRNA from 1 species
UACGGGGGGGGCAAGCGUUGUUCGGAAUUACUGGGCGUAAAGGGCGCGUAGGCGGUGCUCUAAGUUAGAUGUGAAAACUCUGGGCUCAACCCAGAGCCUGCAUCUAAAACUGGAGUGCUAGAGUUCUGGAGGGGGUAGCGGAAUUCCUGGUGUAGCGGUGAAAUGCGUAGAUAUCAGGAGGAACACCGGUGGCGAAGGCGGCUACCUGGACCAACACUGACGCUGAGGAGCGAAAGCCAGGGGAGCAAACGGG